rnacentral:snoRNA from 1 species
UUAUUAGGAUGAUUUAUUAAAUUUCAAAGACAAGCAUAUGUCUGAUGCCAUUGGUUUUGAAGAAGUGAAAUGCGUCUGAUUAUAGACA